UACGUAGGAGGCGAGCGUUGUCCGGAGUUACUGGGCGUAAAGGGAGCGUAGGCGGGUUUCUAAGUCAGGUGUUUAAUCCCGGGGCCCAACCCCGGACAGGCACUUGAAGCUGGGAAUCUUGAAUAGUGGAGAGGUCAGUGGAAUUGGGGGUGUAGCGGUGGAAUGCGUAGAGAUCCCCAAGAACACCAGUUGCGAAGGCGGCUGACUGGACACAUAUUGACGCUGAGGCUCGAAAGCAUGGGGAGCAAACAGG
rnacentral:rRNA from 1 species